rnacentral:misc_RNA from 1 species
UGGGGGAAGCAAUAAACACAAAUCUACAAAACGCAUUAUUUCCAAGUUUUUAGCAUUUAAAGAUGUAUUCCUUAAUUAUGAAAAAAAAUUGAAAAAGUAUAAUCAUAAUGCACAUACGUCAAUAUCCAGAUAUUAAGAUGUGAAAUAGUAUUUUAGAAAGCAUGGCAGAAAAUAUUAAAAAUGAAUUUAUUGUGGAAGUGGAACAGAUCGAAGAAAAAGUGUUUAUCAAAGAAGAAAUAAAGCUGGAGGUUAAUGCUGAAAUCAAAGAUGAAAUAGUUGAAAAUACGAGUCAAGAAAUGAAGUUUGAAAUUCUACCAUGUUGUACUGUAGAAGAUACGUGUACAGUUUAUGUACAGGUCGAAGAUAUGAAAAUGGAAAGAACAGAAAUGAAAAAUGAUAUUGAUAAUGACGAAGAAGAUCCUCUCUUCCCCGAACCAAAGAGACCGAAGAAGCAAGCAGGACGUAGAUAUGCUUGUCUGGAGUGUAAUCAUGUGACCACUGAUGCAACUAAUCUUAAAAGACAUAUUGAAUCCAAACAUGAAGGCGUGGGAUAUCUUUGUAAUCAGUGUGAUUUUGUUACCACUGCAAGUAGGAAUCUUAGAAGACACAUUGAAUCUAAGCAUGAAGGCGUGGAAUAUCCCUGUAAUCAAUGUGAUUAUGUGACCACUGCAAGUAGGAAUCUGAAACGUCAUAUUGAAUGUAAUCAUGAAGGACUGAGACAUACCUGUGAUCAGUGUGAUUUCUCUGCAACUAGAAAGGGGGAUCUAAAAGUUCAUGUUGAACGUAUUCAUGAAGGAGUAAGAUAUCCCUGUGAUCAAUGUGAAUAUGUUGCCACUACAAGAAGGAAUCUGAAAACCCAUAUUGAAUGUAAGCAUGAACAAGCAAGAUUUCCGUGUGGUCAGUGUGAAUUCUCUGCAACUAGAAAAGGGAAUCUGAAAUCUCAUGUUGAACGUAAGCAUGAAGAAGUUCGACAGCCUUGUGGUAUCUGUGAAUAUUUGCAACUACAGGAAGUAAUCUGAAAGCUCAUAUCCGAUUUGAGCAUAAAGGAGUAAGAUAUCCCUGCAAUCAGUGUGAUUUUGCUGCGCCUAACGUGAGUACUCUGAAGAUUCAUAUUGAAAUCAAGCAUAAAAGAGUGAGAUAUCCCUGUGAAUUAUGCCAUGUUGCUGUCGCUACAGCUAGCAGUUUAAAGCAACACAUAGCAAAGCAGCAUUCUGGUUUAAGAUAUCCCUGUGAUCAGUGUAAAUAUUCUUCAAAUACUGAAUUUGAACUGAAAUGGCAUAUUAAAGAUAAACACCAGUAAACAAACUGUCAACCAUCAUUCCGCAGGUAUAAUGGCCGGGUUAUCUGUAUAAAGUAUUUAUGAAUAUUAUAUAAUGUAUAAAUUAUCUAAAUUGAUAAAAUGAGAAAACAUAAUUAACGGAUAUAUAGAUUUAGCAAACCUCAUGUUGUUUUUUAAAUUUUAUAUCCCUUCAUUGGGAAUAAGAAAUAAAACAAUUAUUGUCUAUUGGAAAAUGUUGUGUCUAGAAAAUCAUCAGUGCCUUGUUAUAUGUUAUUUUUAUUUUUAAAUAUUAUUUCCUCCCAAAUUU